CAGUCGCCGCGGGAAUACGAAGGGUGCAAGCGUUAAUCGGAAUUACUGGGCGUAAAGGGUGCGUAGGCGGUGAGUUAAGUCUGUUGUGAAAUCCCCGGGCUCAACCUGGGAAUGGCAAUGGAUACUGGCUCGCUAGAGUGUGAUAGAGGAUGGUGGAAUUCCCGGUGUAGCGGUGAAAUGUGUAGAGAUCGGGAGGAACAUCAGUGGCGAAGGCGGCCAUCUGGAUCAACACUGACGCUGAAGCACGAAAGCGUGGGGAGCAAACAGGAUUAGAUACCCCGGUAGUCCCUGUCUCUUAUAC
rnacentral:rRNA from 1 species